UACGGAGGAUCCGAGCGUUAUCCGGAUUUAUUGGGUUUAAAGGGUGCGUAGGUGGUUUGAUAAGUCAGCGGUGAAAGUUUGCAGCUUAACUGUAAAAAUGCCGUUGAAACUGUCGGACUUGAGUGUAAAUGAGGUAGGCGGAAUGCGUGGUGUAGCGGUGGAAUGCAUAGAUAUCACGCAGAACUCCAAUUGCGAAGGCAGCUUACUAAGGUACAACUGACGCUGAAGCACGAAAGCGUGGGUAUCAAACAGG
rnacentral:rRNA from 1 species